CUUAGAGUGUCUUACACUUUUUAUCGAAAGCUUUCUGUAAAACCUCAGAAUGUCCAUUUUAAUCCAAUAUUGGGAACCAGCAAGUACCCAGUACUUAUUCUAAACCCAAGUUUUAAUCUAGUUUGCAUUCCUUGUGAUACCAGGAAAAUGUCAGUGGUUUGUUGAUAGCAAACUAAUGUUCAUCUUGCUAACAGCGACAGAUGGCUGCAAAUCUCUAGCAAAGAAACCUCCAGUGAGUCAGAAGCCGAUCAUUCAACUGACUGCCAGAUUUCCUUCCUCUUCUGAGGUUAGGUACUAGCAUGGCCCGAGGAAGAGCACACUGAGGUAAGUUGCCUUAUGCUUUUGCUUCCACAAAUAGGUAGGUGCUACUCAUUUUAUUUCCACAAAAUCCAUCUUAGUUCCAGGCUUAGUUCCAAUGCUUUGGACUGGUGCAG
rnacentral:lncRNA from 1 species